GAUGAACGCUGGCUACAGGCUUAACACAUGCAAGUCGAGGGGAAACGACGGGGAAGCUUGCUUCCCCGGGCGUCGACCGGCGCACGGGUGAGUAACGCGUAUCCAACCUGCCUCUGACUGAGGGAUAACCCGUCGAAAGUCGGCCUAAUACCUCAUGGCAUCGUCUGCGGGCAUCCAACGACGAUUAAAGAUUUCAUCGGUCAGAGAUGGGGAUGCGUCUGAUUAGCUUGUUGGCGGGGUAACGGCCCACCAAGGCGACGAUCAGUAGGGGUUCUGAGAGGAAGGUCCCCCACAUUGGAACUGAGACACGGUCCAAACUCCUACGGGAGGCAGCAGUGAGGAAUAUUGGUCGAUGGGCGAGAGCCUGAACCAGCCAAGUAGCGUGCAGGAGGACGGCCCUAUGGGUUGUAAACUGCUUUUAUGCGGGGAUAAAGUGAGGGACGUGUCCUUCAUUGCAGGUACCGCAUGAAUAAGGACCGGCUAAUUCCGUG
rnacentral:rRNA from 1 species